rnacentral:lncRNA from 1 species
AGAAUAUUGGUUUCUACAAAAGCAAAAACCAAAAUCAAAAGCAAAAACCACAAACCACAAACAAUCAACUUCUGAAUAGUCUGUGUUAUGACUGCUUUCGUUAGCAUUUGAUUACGAGCCAACAUAAAAAGGUGGUGAAGUUUCCAAACUUUUAAAAGUUGCGAGAAAAAACUUGUCGAAUAUUUAUUGUUUUCUUGACAAAUAGCUAUCACGAAACACGAAUAAUACUGUGUUUCAGUAUCUUUGUAAGUCGUUCUUUUUUGUAAUUGUAAAUUAAUUUUAGAUUCCAAAUAAAUUAAAACGUGUAUUCGUUGUUACAGAACAGCGACAAAAAAUUACAAGAAGAACAAACUUAGUUAGGUGUUAGGUCAGAAGUACUGUUGGAUCGUUGAAUUAAAAACACAAACCUAUUCACUUGCGAUG